rnacentral:rRNA from 1 species
ACGAAUGCUGGCGGCGUGCUUAACACAUGCAAGUCGAACGGAAAGGCCCUGCUUUUGUGGGGUGCUCGAGUGGCGAACGGGUGAGUAACACGUGAGUAACCUGCCCUUGACUUUGGGAUAACUUCAGGAAACUGGGGCUAAUACCGGAUAGGAGCUCCUACUGCAUGGUGGGGGUUGGAAAGUUUCGGCGGUUGGGGAUGGACUCGCGGCUUAUCAGCUUGUUGGUGGGGUAGUGGCUUACCAAGGCUUUGACGGGUAGCCGGCCUGAGAGGGUGACCGGCCACAUUGGGACUGAGAUACGGCCCAGACUCCUACGGGAGGCAGCAGUGGGGAAUAUUGCACAAUGGGCGGAAGCCUGAUGCAGCAACGCCGCGUGCGGGAUGACGGCCUUCGGGUUGUAAACCGCUUUCGCCUGUGACGAAGCGUGAGUGACGGUAAUGGGUAAAGAAGCACCGGCUAACUACGUG